GUUGUCGUCAGCUCGUGUCGUGAGAUGUUCGGGUUAAGUCCGCUAACGAGCGCAACCCUCGUCGUGUGUUACAAGUGUCACGCGAGACCGCCGAUGUCAAGUCGGAGGAAGUGGGAUGACGUCAAGUCAGCAUGGCCUUUAUAUCCAGGGCUACAUACACGCUACAAUGGUCAACACAAUAGGUCGCGAAACCGCGAGGUGGAGCCAAUCCUCAAAGUUGGCCUCAGUUCAGAUUGUAGGCUGCAACUCGCCUGCAUGAAGAUGGAGUUGCUAGUAACCGCAGGUCAGCACUACUGCGGUGAAUACCGUUCCCGGGGUUU
rnacentral:rRNA from 1 species